GGCCAGAUAACGGCAAGCGACAAGCUCGGUUCGUUUGGUUUGCAGUUAGAAGCAGCAAAGAAACCGAGAAACGUUAAGAAAUGUUUCAAUGCUGCAGCAACGACAACAGCAAACAGGAAUCACCUGCCCACCGUUGGGUGUGUGUGUGUAGGUCGCGCGCGUUCGCACAUUGAAGUUGAUCGGUUGAAGGUUUCACACGGGGCAUGCUUUGAUGCUCGCAACGUUUCGUCGACCGCCAAUGGCCUUGGAGCGUUCAACAGCUGUGCAUAAAUUAAUUAGUAAGAGCUAUUACGCUGGACGAAAGACGAUUGAUUGUUCCCGCAAGACACGCGGUAACGACGAACACACAUUGAACAGACAGCCACGAGUGUAUGUGUGCCGCCUGUUGCAUGUCCUUUUUCCGGGAGGUACAUAUGUAUUAGUGCGCUCCGUUCCGCACGUCCGGAAGAAAGGUGUGUGGAAGGAUCUUGAAGAAAUCGUACCAAAACGAAUCCGUUUCUUGAGUUUCAAUAGAAAUAGAGCCAAAACGGGGAAACAGGAAGUAGCAAAAGAAUGCACAUGGUAUGGCAUUGUUGUUUUAUUACAUUCCUAAAACGACUUCUUUUCUAUUUUAGCAAACCUUUCUUAAAGAAAGACAGAUAGAAAAGUCCCAUCGUCUGCUGCUGUAGUUGCCAUGGGAGACGGUUUGUGUUCGACGAGUAGCAGCAGCAGCUCUGUUUUCUCGUGCUCGAGCACCUUUCCCCCAGCAUUGCAAUGAUCAUCGUGAACCAGUAUUUCAAGGGCAGAGCGGGCUUUUUCGGAAAACCAGAUCCCCAGUGUUAAUUUGGGGCCGUUCCAUUAGCACCGUGCCCGUGCGAUAGACGUGCAUCUGUUUAUUGGCUAAUCGGCAUCGCCGCACCGUGCGCGCCGGACCCUGCCGUUAUUGCACGGUUCGGCCACUGGCCACUAUUGAUACCUUAAAACGAGACAAACAAGAUCAGCCCGCGAUCUCCAGGAUGAGGAUUCGUGCCAAAAGCGGCAUUGCGCAUUCGCACCACAGUUUGCGGUUUGGUUUUUUUUGUCGUAAAUUUAUUCAUUUAUUCAUGUGCUGAGAUCGAAAGUAGUCAAACAAGGUACAGUGUUUGAUGAUUUUAUUGCAAAAGAACGCUUCUACUUUGUUGACAGUGGAAGGUAUUUCUUUUCCUUUUUGUUAUAAAGUCACACUGUAACGGCUAAAACUAUCAACACGUGUUGCCACUUAAAGCCAUUCCCCGUUUGCUAACGAACUGUGCACAUAAAGCUCAUAAACGUGCCUGCGGCAAAAUGGGAAUUAGCGUUAUUGUAGUCACAAGCGUCCAGAACAGAUCUGAAUUCGAAAAAACAAUCAUCAAACAGUCUCAAACAAACAACCGUUUUUUGUUUUUGUUUUGGUAAAACAAUUCCAUACGGGUGCGCUAGUAGUGAUUGCUUAUCGCACAUUGUAAUUGAUUAAAUUGAUUACAAGUUGUGGGUUGGUUGAUUUUUUUGUACUGCAUUCCAACGCAAGGAGCGAUUGUUUCACGUGCAACAAUCAACUAUAACGAGAGUUCCAGUGUAAUGUUUGCCCCAAACGGUCCCUUUUUACUUUUCGCUUUGGGAUGCGCAGAGAGAAGAGCCACACGCAAAUGCAAACAUCACCGUCCAAAAAAAAAAACGCGUCAAAUGUGCUUGUUAGAAAGGCCAAGAUCACCAGGGGCAGCUGGUUUCGUCUGGCAGAAGACUCCGCCGCUCCACCUAUCAACCUAUCCGGAGUCUUUUUUCCCGGAAAAAGAGCUACACUAACCGAGAGAGCGCACCAAGCUCGUCUGCUUUUGACGUUAUGCUGAGUGGUGGAGCAUGAAUUUGGAAAGCUUCUACGCAUUUCGUGGCUGGCAGAGGGGGGCACCAAAACGGCGCAACGAUUGUGUACCUUUUUGAGGGAUAAUAUUUGUGGAUUAUUACUGCUGCCAGAGCGCUACCUACGUGGGUUUUCUUUUUUCUCCUUUUCUUUGGUUCGUGUGGGAUUGCACGGCUCUGUUGCUUCUCGAGCGACUUAACAAUGGUCGUUAAUUUUUCACCUGGUCGCCCAUUGCCCUUCUAAAGCACCAUCCGCCCGCACCGCCAUGUUUGGGUAGUAGGUGCACAGGUGCGUUUGAAGAACUUCGGGAAAACACACACACACAGAGAGUGAGGCAGAUAAGAAGCUGGCUGGCACGAAAGAAGGCAUUGAACUUUAUGCAUUUUUCGAUCCCAUUCUACUGCUUGCCUUUGGAUAGCGCAUAUUACCAUUAGUAUCUUCUUGGUUGAGCGGAGCACGAAGGAGGGGGCGGAAAGGUGCACGAUGAGAUGCAACGGCCGGUCUGGAAUCGUGACUGGUGAUGGAUGGAUUUGCUCGUCGCGACCUAAAUCACGCAAAAGAGAGAGAGAGGGAGCCAGAAAAAAAGAGGAGGGAAGCGCCGGCACGCAACCCUGACGAACAAAGGGCCCGCCCGGGACAACCCUUGGCUAUCGCUCUGCUAACUGUUUGUGACGCACUGGAUGUGUGUCUGUGUGUGUGUUCGUGUGAAAUGGCCGACUUAUUUUUGCAGGUGAUCAAUAAACAACCACCCUUUUGCACAUGA